CCCACCUGAAACCUGUGGGAGUGGCCAGUAACAUCUCUACCCCCCCAGUUCAGUGGCAGAACUAAUGUAGAGAGGGCCCCGGUGCAAAAAUCUUUUUGUCUUCCCAUUGCAAGUUUAGCCAAAAGGUAAAUUCCCAAACUGGAAAGAAGGAACGAGCCCAGGCACACCCUGUACUUUGCUCAAUCAGGUAGACUUUUAAAGGAGCACUAUGGUACCAGGAAAACAAACUUUUUCCUGGCACUAUAGGG